rnacentral:rRNA from 1 species
GUGGGGAAUAUUGCACAAUGGGCGAAAGCCUGAUGCAGCGACGCCGCGUGAAGGAUGAAGUAUUUCGGUAUGUAAACUUCUAUCAGCAGGGAAGAAAAUGACGGUACCUGACUAAGAAGCCCCGGCUAACUACGUGCC